CCAAGCCCCCCAACCCACAAUGCCGUCUUGACCCUUUUUUCACAGAAAAUCGAAUCAGAUUCCUUCUGUUGUCCCUCUCUGUUCACUGUUUUUUCUUGUUUUUUGGUUUGAUCGAUUGAUGUCUUUGUUGUGGGACAUGAUCAUAAUCCUAUGAUUUAUGUGGAACCAGAUUCUUGAUUUGGGGUUUGUGGAUUGGAAGUUGAUGAGUUAAAGAUGGGAUUUUUGGCUUCUCAAAUAUUGCCCCAAAGGUCAAAACUUUAACUUGGUAUGCUCUUAUAUUAUUUCAGAAACCAGAUUCUUGAUUUGGGUUUUUAGCUGACUAAUAGUGGGAAUCAAGAAAUUGUCUCUGGUAGAGUUAUCAUUUGGUAGUUUAGUUAAAAGGGCCUCUGGAUAUUCCAUUUUUGGUUGAUAAUCUGGGGUUUGAUUAGCUUAUGAAUGAAUAUCUUUCACCACAUGUUUGCCUUUUCCUUGAUAAGAAUCCCUUAUAUUGUGAUGUAGUUUGGAGAUUUAAGUGGAUCAAUUGUAUUGCUUGGACUAUAACAUUGUUUUCUAGGGGCCUGCUAGUUGCAUUUGUUGUUGUAGUUGAGGGUAUGGAGUACCUUCCUGUUGAGGUGAUUGGGAACAUUUUGUCCCGUGUUGGAGCUGCGCGAGAUGUUGUGAUAGCAUCUUCUACUUGUCAGAAGUGGCGAGAGGCUUGGAGGAAUCAUCUUCAUACACUCAUGUUUAACUCGAAUGACUGGCCUGUUUAUCAUGAGCUCACAAGGAGCAGACUUGAGAUAAUUGUAACUCAGACGAUUUUCCAGACUAAUGGACUGCAUUGCCUUUCGAUCAUCAUGGAUGAUGUCGACGAGUUCUCUGCUGCUCCGGUAAUAGCUUGGCUAAUGUAUACCAGAGAAACGUUACGACAGUUACAUUACAAUGUCAGGACUACCCCAAACAUUAAUAUACUCGAAAAAUGUGGUCGCCAGAGACUAGAAGUGUUGGCUCUUGCACACAAUACAAUCACAGGUGUUGAACCUAGUUACCAAAAGUUUCCUUGUUUGAGGUCUCUUUCACUAAGUUAUGUUAGUAUAUCGGCUUUAGACCUGAGUCUUUUCCUCACAGCCUGCCCAAAAGUUGAGGUCUUGAGUCUUGUUAGUAUAGACAUUGUUAUGUCUGAUCCACAGGCAACGAUGGAGCUGACAAGUAACUCGUUGAAAGAUAUCUAUGUUGAAGCCAUUAGUUUGGAUAAAAUCAUUCUGGAAGCGGAUAGUCUUGAGAAGCUGCAUCUGAAAGAUUGUACACUUGAGGUCUUUGAGCUUGUUAGCAAGGGUUCAUUGAGUCACCUUAAGAUUGAUGAUGUUAGUGUCAUCCAUCUUGAUAUUGGCGAGAGUGCUGAAGAUCUCGAGAUUGUGGAUGUCAGUAAUUUCACAAUCAUGUGGUCCAAGUUCCAUCACAUGAUAGCAAAAUCAUCGAAGCUGAAAAGACUGAGGCUAUGGGGAGUUGUGUUUGACGAUGAGGAUGAGGCUGUGGAUAUUGAGACGAUUUCCGCUUGCUUUCCACAAUUAAGUCAUCUAUCAUUGAGCUAUGAACUAAGAGAGACAGCACUUCAUUAUGGAUCGCAAGAUUCUUUUCAAUUGGAAAAUGUAGUCGUCUUGGAGCUUGGAUGGAUGGUCAUUGGCGACCUGUUCUCCCAUUGGGUUGCAGGACUACUGGAAAGGUGCCCUAACCUGAGGAAGUUGGUAAUCUACGGAGUCGUCUCAGAAACCAAAACACACGAAGAAUGCCAUACAUUAGCCAACUUCACAUCCUUUAUUGUAAGGCUUAUGAGGAAGUAUUUGCAUGUAGAUGUUCAGUUCGAAUAUGAGUAGAUUUUGAACAACUGCUGAGUUCAAAAAUUUUCCUCAUCUCGAGAGGGGAAGGAGGACGACACAUAAGACUCCUGUUAGGAUGUUGCUGUACUGAUUGUUAUUUCAAGAAGGAGAAACUCUGGAUUAAAAGAACAUGAAUCAUCGGUUUGUUGUAAGUCCCCUUACCAAAUUCUUUGUUGCUCACAUUAUGUCUAUCUUUAAUGAAAGUUUUAAAUCUCUAUUCUUUUUCUUCCGUUAUCAGCAAUUUAUGUGGCUCUUAGUCUUCUUCAUUGUUUGAUAUUAGCAUGAGAUGAGUUUGAAUGGCGUAGCAUGGUCAGUGAUGAUUCAUAUAUAUAGCUGACCCCAAUUUGUUUGAGACUGAGGCGUACUGUUGAUGUUAUUAGUCUUCUUCACCAAUACAAUGUGCUUCUCUAUGACCCCCAUCUUCUGUCGAGUCUUAUGGGUAGUAAAUGGUUCUGCAUUCCUAGUGAAACACAUCGCAAGUGGAUAUGGAGUAUUCCGCAAGUUGGAUGGACUAAAGGCAGAUCCAGAAUUUUAAAUUUAUGGGUUUUGGCCAUAGCCCUUUUUGCUUAUUGAGUUCUUAAUAGAUCAUUUAUACAUUACACGAUUACAAUGAUCGUAUUAUUUGUUGUUGCUAAUGUUCU